AGCAUGCACGCCCCAAAUUGUAAUUCUUUUGGCUAUUCCCAAAUAAACUCAUUUUGAGGAUAAAAUGACAGGAGAAUUUGCUUUUUGAAUUGACAACAUGCUUAGUUCAAUAAAC